rnacentral:rRNA from 1 species
CCUACGGGUGGCUGCAGUGAGGAAUAUUGGUCAAUGGGCGCGAGCCUGAACCAGCCAAGUAGCGUGAAGGAUGACGGCCCUACGGGUUGUAAACUUCUUUUAUAAAGGAAUAAAGUGAGGGACGUGUGCCGUUUUGUAUGUACUUUAUGAAUAAGGAUCGGCUAACUCCGUGCCAGCAGCCGCGGUAAUACGGAGGAUCCGAGCGUUAUCCGGAUUUAUUGGGUUUAAAGGGAGCGUAGAUGGGUUGUUAAGUCAGUUGUGAAAGUUUGCGGCUCAACCGUAAAAUUGCAAUUGAUACUGGCAGUCUUGAGUACAGUUGAGGUAGGCGGAAUGCGUGGUGUAGCGGUGAAAUGCUUAGAUAUCACGAAGAACUCCGAUUGCGAAGGCAGCAUACCGGCUCCAUACUGACGCUGAGGCACGAAAGCGUGGGGAUCGAACAGGAUUAGAUACCCCUGUAGUC